rnacentral:rRNA from 1 species
UACGUAGGUGGCUAGCGUUGUCCGGAUUUACUGGGCGUAAAGAGCGCGCAGGCGGUCGUGCAAGUCGCGUGUGAAAGCCCCCCGGCUCAACUGGGGAGGGUCACGCGAUACUGCUCGACUCGAAGGCAGGAGAGGGAAGUGGAAUUCCCGGUGUAGUGGUGAAAUGCGUAGAUAUCGGGAGGAACACCAGUGGCGAAGGCGACUUCCUGGCCUGUUCUUGACGCUGAGGCGCGAAAGCUAGGGUAGCAAACGGG